UUUCCGUAGGUGAACCUGCGGAAGGAUCAUUAUUGUAUAACCGAGGUGCGAGGGCUGUCGCUGACCCGAAAGGUCGUGCACGCCCGAGUGCCCUCACACACAUCCAUCUCACCCCUAUGUGCACCACCGCGUGGGUCCCCCUUUGGCUUGUUCGGAGGGGGGCUUACGUUUUCACACAAACUUUGUAUGCAGUGUAGAAUGUAUUUUUUGUUUUUGCGAUCACGCAAUCAAUACAACUUUCAACAACGGAUCUCUUGGCUCUCGCAUCGAUGGAACGCAGC
rnacentral:misc_RNA from 1 species